rnacentral:rRNA from 1 species
UACGGGAGGCAGCAGUGGGGAAUAUUGCACAAUGGGCGCAAGCCUGAUGCAGCCAUGCCGCGUGUAUGAAGAAGGCCUUCGGGUUGUAAAGUACUUUUCAGCGGGGAGGAAGGCGGUGAAGUUAAUAGCUUCACCGAUUGACGUUACCCGCAGAAGAAGCACCGGCUAACUCCGUGCCAGCAGCCGCGGUAAUACGGAGGGUGCAAGCGUUAAUCGGAAUUACUGGGCGUAAAGCGCACGCAGGCGGUCUGUCAAGUCGGAUGUGAAAUCCCCGGGCUUAACCUGGGAACUGCAUUCGAAACUGGCAGGCUAGAGUCUUGUAGAGGGGGUAGAAUUCCAGGUGUAGCGGUGAAAUGCGUAGAGAUCUGGAGGAAUACCGGUGGCGAAGGCGGCCCCUGGACAAAGCUGACGCUCAGGGUGCGAAAGCGUGGGGAGCGAAACAGGAUUAGGAUACC